rnacentral:tRNA from 1 species
GGGGCCAUAGCUCAGCUGGGAGAGCGCCUGCUUUGCACGCAGGAGGGUCAGGAGUUCGAUCCUCCCUUGGCUCCACCA